rnacentral:rRNA from 4 species
GAAGGUGUGUCGUGAGGCAUGCUGGAGGUAUCAGAAGUGCGAAUGCUGACAUAAGUAACGAUAAAGCGGGUGAAAAGCCCGCUCGCCGGAAGACCAAGGGUUCCUGUCCAACGUUAAUCGGGGCAGGGUGAGUCGACCCCUAAGGCGAGGCCGAAAGGCGUAGUCGAUGGGAAACGGGUUAAUAUUCCCGUACUUGGUGUUACUGCGAAGGGGGGACGGAGAAGGCUAUGUUGGCCGGGCGACGGUUGUCCCGGUUUAAGCGUGUAGGUGUGUGUUCCAGGUAAAUCCGGUUCACUUUAACACUGAGGCGUGACGACGAGGCACUACGGUGCUGAAGCAACAAAUGCCCUGCUUCCAGGAAAAGCCUCUAAGCAUCAGGUAACAUCAAAUCGUACCCCAAACCGACACAGGUGGUCAGGUAGAGAAUACCAAGGCGCUUGAGAGAACUCGGGUGAAGGAACUAGGCAAAAUGGUGCCGUAACUUCGGGAGAAGGCACGCUGACACGUAGGUGAAGUGAUUUACUCAUGGAGCUGAAGUCAGUCGAAGAUACCAGCUGGCUGCAACUGUUUAUUAAAAACACAGCACUGUGCAAACACGAAAGUGGACGUAUACGGUGUGACGCCUGCCCGGUGCCGGAAGGUUAAUUGAUGGGGUCAGCGCAAGCGAAGCUCCUGAUCGAAGCCCCGGUAAACGGCGGCCGUAACUAUAACGGUCCUAAGGUAGCGAAAUUCCUUGUCGGGUAAGUUCCGACCUGCACGAAUGGCGUAAUGAUGGCCAGGCUGUCUCCACCCGAGACUCAGUGAAAUUGAACUCGCUGUGAAGAUGCAGUGUACCCGCGGCAAGACGGAAAGACCCCGUGAACCUUUACUAUAGCUUGACACUGAACAUUGAGCCUUGAUGUGUAGGAUAGGUGGGAGGCUUUGAAGUGUGGACGCCAGUCUGCAUGGAGCCGACCUUGAAAUACCACCCUUUAAUGUUUGAUGUUCUAACGUGGACCCGUUACCCGGGUUGCGGACAGUGUCUGGUGGGUAGUUUGACUGGGGCGGUCUCCUCCUAAAGAGUAACGGAGGAGCACGAAGGUUGGCUAAUCCUGGUCGGACAUCAGGAGGUUAGUGCAAUGGCAUAAGCCAGCUUGACUGCGAGCGUGACGGCGCGAGCAGGUGCGAAAGCAGGUCAUAGUGAUCCGGUGGUUCUGAAUGGAAGGGCCAUCGCUCAACGGAUAAAAGGUACUCCGGGGAUAACAGGCUGAUACCGCCCAAGAGUUCAUAUCGACGGCGGUGUUUGGCACCUCGAUGUCGGCUCAUCACAUCCUGGGGCUGAAGUAGGUCCCAAGGGUAUGGCUGUUCGCCAUUUAAAGUGGUACGCGAGCUGGGUUUAGAACGUCGUGAGACAGUUCGGUCCCUAUCUGCCGUGGGCGCUGGAGAACUGAGGGGGGCUGCUCCUAGUACGAGAGGACCGGAGUGGACGCAUCACUGGUGUUCGGGUUGUCAUGCCAAUGGCACUGCCCGGUAGCUAAAUGCGGAAGAGAUAAGUGCUGAAAGCAUCUAAGCACGAAACUUGCCCCGAG